rnacentral:rRNA from 1 species
UGAUAGUGGCGCACGGGUGCGUAACGCGUGGGAACCUGCCCUUAGGUUCGGAAUAACUUCCCGAAAGGAAAGCUAAUACCGAAUAAUGUCUUCGGACCAAAGAUUUAUCGCCUUUGGAUGGGCCCGCGUUGGAUUAGCUAGUUGGUGGGGUAAAGGCCUACCAAGGCGACGAUCCAUAGCUGGUCUGAGAGGAUGAUCAGCCACACUGGGACUGAGACACGGCCCAGACUCCUACGGGAGGCAGCAGUGGGGAAUAUUGGACAAUGGGCGAAAGCCUGAUCCAGCAAUGCCGCGUGAGUGAUGAAGGCCUUAGGGUUGUAAAGCUCUUUUACCAGGGAUGAUAAUGACAGUACCUGGAGAAUAAGCUCCGGCUAACUCCGUGCCAGCAGCCGCGGUAAUACGGAGGGAGCUAGCGUUGUUCGGAAUUACUGGGCGUAAAGCGCGCGUAGGCGGCCUAUCAAGUCAGGGGUG